GGGGGUAUAGCUCAGUUGGGAGAGCGACGCGCUGGCAGCGCGUAGGUCGUCGGUUCAAGUCCGUCUACCUCCACC
rnacentral:tRNA from 1 species